AUGGGGACAAGCAACCUGCCCAGGUGGACCAGUCACAAUCAGGGGAGGAAUUCAAAGCUUAAAAUGAAGUCCCCCCAGCAAGGUAGGCCUGGGUGGAAUCCUAAGAUUCAGAAGCCUGUCCCGUCUUUGUCAUCUCCUCUCUCUCUGCUCCCUCUUGUCUUACUUUCUUUGCAGAUGUUGUCUCCUCAGCCUCAUGCCUGCCCAACACCCCAGUGUCUGGGGUUUGCCCUCUCUUGCCUGAGUCCACGUCCUCUCCAGAACCAGCUACAUUUUUCUACACAAGGUCUUUCCUGUGCUCUCCACUCCCAGAGAGAACUUGUUUCUUCUGCAUGGACUCAUUUUUGCAAAGUAAAAGAUGGCUAGUUCAGAUCCAGCAACAGUAGACCAGAAAGUGGACAGAUGCCCAGAGACAGCGCCUCCUUCCUCUGAUUGCAAGGUGGGGCCACAUUCAAAUCAUGCCCCGCGUACUUUGCUAAAGUGGCAUGUUUUCCCUUGGAAAGAUAUAUGCAGAAGGCCUCAAGCAAGGAACAGAAAAAGGUCCCUGCAAGUCCCCCAAGUGUAACUCUUCAAUGAUCAUAACAUCGACAUUUGAACACUCUCUACCAGAUACCAGAUACCAGAUACCAGACAUCGCAAGUCUCACCGCAGAUGUGAAAACCAAGGCUCAGAGACAUUAGAGAAUGGCUUAGUGGUGAGACAGCUUGAAUCUGAACCCGGGUCUGCUUGACUUAAAAGCUUGGCUUUCUGAUUUCGAUGUUCUUCCACAUUCAGCUUGACUCUGAGACGGCUGACUCAUACCAAGCUGCACUGAGAGCCAGACAGCGUCCUAACAUGCAGAGCUGGGUCAUGCUUCUCUUGUCCUCCUCGUCUGCAUCCCAGACUCUCAGCCCUGGGGGAAGCGGAUUUCCUGCAGUUUUUCUUUCCACCCUGCCUGCACUCCCUUUAAGCUCUCUACCGUUCAUGGGUGGUUUCUGAUGAAAAGGUAUUGACAACUCUUUAUAACUAUCCUUUAAGUUCUCCUUUAAAAAACCACACACAUUCAUAUCUUAAAAUGAGAAAAUAUGGCUCAGUGGUGUAAAAAAUUAUGUUGGAACAAAUAACAUAAAAGACAGGACCUUGAGAAGGAGACCUACCAGCCUGUACAACCUGUUGCAAAACUAUUUUACAUAUCGAAAAAAAUCACAAAUGCUCUAAGACCUGCUGUGUCCUGGAAAUGCUCUCUGGAACAAGCAGCAGUGAGAGAAUCUUUGUGUUCACCUUGCAAACAUCACCAGAAUUAAAACCCUGGCUCUGGAACUUCCCUAGCAGUCCAGUGGCUGAGACUCCGGGUUUCCAGUGCAGGGGCUGUGGGUUCGAUACUUGGUUGGGGAACUAAGAUCUCACAUGCACAGCCGGGGAAGAAAAAAAAGUCCUGGCAUCAUAGGAGUAGAAAGUCGGAGCGUGAACCAGCCCUUAACUAGGAGUCAGUCAACUACUUAAUGCCGACCAAGCAUGAGGAGUCAUACAGCCUCUCUGGGCCUCAUUUAGAGAGCUUUUUUAAGGUUCCUCUCUCCCCUACCACUCUGAUGGAACAUCUCUCAGAUGAAGCCUCGGAACUGCCAUAUUUUAAUAUUUCCCUGAGUGACCCUUCAGUUCAGUUCAGUUCAGUUGCUC
rnacentral:lncRNA from 1 species